rnacentral:sRNA from 1 species
UUCAUUGGCACAGGGGGAAAUUUUCUGAGAACACUAAAGGCUUGUGUUCUAAUAUCAACAAUCAAUAAAUGGGAAUAUCAUGAAACUGAAAACUUUCAGUAUGGCAAAAGAGAGUAUCAAUAGACAUAUUGGAAAACAUACAUAUUGGAAAAGAAUCUUCACUAAGCCUAUGUCAGACAAGAGGAUAAUAUCAAAAAUACAUAAAACACUUAAGAUGUUGACCUCCAAAAAAAAAAAGGCAAAGUAGGAUGUAUGGAACUUCCCAAGAGACACAGAACUUAUAGGUAUACUCUAUAUACUAAGGGAAUUUUUGAUGACUUAAUUCUGUAACUCAACUCCUCACCAAUGACCAGCAGCAGUGGCGCAGUCCCACAAGGCAGGCAGGCGAAGAGAAAGAGUCUUCCUUCUUCCAACGACCUUAUGUAUGUCUCCAGCAGGAGGUGUGUCCCAGAUCAAAGGUAUGUACCACCAUCAUACCUGGAUCAGAGACUUGCUUUGUGCCAGAUGAUCUUGAAUGCAGAGAUCUCCUUUCCUUAGUCUCCUGGGAUUCAUAGCCACAAUGCCACAAUGUCUUCAUGCCAAGAUCCAGAAACUUUGCAGUUUUUUGACGUCCAAUUUUUUGAUUCUUGAUCAUAAAGUUGCCUCAGAAGAGCAGCAUUUGCAGUUUGCAGCUUUUUAAAAGACUGAACAGAGAGGCAGUUAUUCUAAAACAAAUAUACUCAAUUGUAAAUAUGAAGGAAGGAAAAGAGUAAUUGUGUCGUAUGUAGGAUGCUCUGAAAAUAAAAUGAAAGAAUGUGUACUGAAAUUAUUGCUUGAAAUAUUUACCCAAGUCAGAAAAAAAGAUAAAUCUAAAUUGAAUAUGAAGCAGUAUGUCGCCCUCAUGAGAAAAUAGGCAUGACUAUUUUUCUCCCACGCUGGACUCGUCUUCCUGUAGUAAUAUUUGAGGAGUAUUGUGCUAAAUCUUCUUUGAAAAUAUGGUAAAAUUCUGUGUCUAAUCCACGUGGCCCAUGAGAUUUUUGGGGCAUAUUUUACCAAAUGUGAUGAUCCUGUGUAUAUAUGUGAAAACCAGAAGAUGUCAUUGUUUUGGACUAAGGACAUGGACCUUGGAUAAUAAUCCUGCUCUUGCAUCAAAUUCCCUAGCAGCCAAAUUAGGUCAAAACCCUGUUGCUUCAAUCUGAAGUUCUCUUGCUCCUGACAUUUCCAGUCUCUGUAUUUGACAGUAACAAACAUCGAUACGGUGAAUGACAUAAUCAGAAGUUCCUACCAGUGGUGAGAAAACAUAACAUUGAAGAUUAUCAGCUGUGGUUCUGUCCUGGCCAUGGGAAAGUUCCAAGAGCACUCCAAGGGCAUGAGUGUCCACAUGAUAUUCUGAUGAUAAAUGUUCCAAAGAACUUCAGUCCACAAGAAUUAAGACAUCUUACAAUGAUAAUUCCCUACUUCAUCUGUUCAAGAUAUAUCUAAAAUCUGAUGCGCAGGGGCAAUUCAUCUUAAAGUCCAGAGACUUAGCAGGAAGCCAGCAGCAAAAAAUAUAAAGAGAAAACGUCUUAAGAAACAAAGAACUUCUAUAACAUCGUGGUGGUACAGGGUCUCUGUGCCCCACCCGGACAAAGUAUGCACCAUCCCAAGAGUUAAUGAGGGAGAAAAACUGUUUGGAAGAGAACUUAUUUCCAUUUAUCAUGAUGGCAACCUGCCAUCGGCAGGUUCUCGGCAAUUCUGGUAUGUAUCACAUGGUUCUUCUCUGGCUCUCUUAAGACAAAUUCCUGCUUCACAAAUACCUGACCCCUUCACUUCUAUCACAAUGUGGAGUAAAAACUGUGUCUCAAAUCAUUGGUUUUUCAAUAGGAAGAUGAGAGUGGGCUAUUCAGGAACUGUCUAUUGGAAAAGUUGGAUUUAAUCUGAUAAAAAGAAAUGUUACCUGAUCUUAAAGGGUUACCAUUAGGGUAGGAUUUGUACAAAAAUAGACUGAGGCACAAAACUAGCUUGAGGUCCUCUGUGUUCAUGCCAGUCUUUGCACGGCACCUGUGCCCACCAUUGGUCUUUUUCUCAAGGAGACAAUCAUGCCCGGUGCUGCAUGAAGCCUGACAGGUGUUUCCCUAUCUUCUUCUCAGGACAUGCUGUUCCUACUAAAAAGGAAAGGGUAUACCCACAAUCAAGGGUACGUUUACAGUAUCUCUGAGUGUAACCUUGUGCCAAACAGAAAAGGACAAAUUGGAUUCAGAAGAAGAGAUAACCAAACAAUCUGUUUAUGUAGUGGCAUGCAUCUUUAAGGUAGGGAAAGUCCUUCCAUCAUCCAUCCUCAGGAUUUCUCUGAGUCUAUGGGAGUAGUGUUCUUCCUUUUGCAUUCCCUUGAGUGACAGUAAAUAGGUAUGAGAUAAAUCUGGUAAGCUCAAAUCUCCACUGUUAGUGUUAAUAACUUGAAUGAUGUUUUGCUUAGGAAUUUUUUAAGCAAUGCUAUUCUUGGGCUAUCAAAGGUGAACCCUACCCUCAUUUCUCGGAGACCCAAUCUCAAAGCAAAUGUUACUAUACUCCGGUGUACAAUCUUUCUGAUUCUCUUUACACCUGUUUGGAGACCACAGUUCGGGACUUAGUAUGUGUAUGUACAAACUGAGGCUCAGUGUCACAAGGUAUUUUUUUCUUUGGAACUUGAAUAGCUGUAGUUUUUAAUAGUAGUCUCCAUCCAUUGCAAAGAGAACAUUUUUGAUGGGUCAGGGCUAUAUUAUCUGUGAAUAUUAAGUUAAAUAUUUAUAAUAGAGUUAGGAGUCACACUUGUUUAGUGAAAUAGGGGCAGGACGUUCUCUAAGAACCAGACCACAUGUGCCUCCAUGCUUCCAGUACCAGACAUGGCUUUGUGCUCCUGAGAAAUCAGAUAAGAGUUCCUAUGGUUGUCUUUGUUGUGGUUACCAUAAUGGUAUGUUUCUAUCAUUUAAAAAGCGUAUUUAAGCUGAAGUAUUGAUCACGUAUAUGUGUUAGUUUGCUCAGCCGUCCACUAGCGGAAUGCUGAUCUAAGAAAAGGUUUUUCUAUAGUCAAAAUAAAUCUGAAAAUCUACGCUUUGAUUUCUGGUUUAAAUUGAUGAAACUUACUGGACAUAUAUUUCAGGGAAUGUUCUACUUAGGGGAAAUUUUGGGAGCUGUGAAGAAAAUUGGAACUAAACUGAAAUUUACAGAAGAAUGUACUUUGAACAAUUUUCAUGAUUAAAUUUUUCCACAAAAUAUUUUUCCUCCCUUUAUAAGAACUUCCUACAAAACAUUGAAGGAAUUCUGAUGACUUCAGAACUCUAUGAUGAGUGGAUUGUUGUAACCAAAAAGGUCAAUGACUACGAGAAAUUAGACACAGUGCAGAGGUAAUUGUUGGCAAACUGUGUGAACAACAUCAACAAAAUAGAAGUAGUAUUUGCUUACACACACUAGAAAUAAUAUAUCACAGAAAUAUUUACUAAAAACAUUGACAGGUAGCAAAAGGUUUCAAUUGUUCACAAACACACAAGACACUUUCAAAAGAGAAGUGUGAGUUACAGUGGGAAUUAGAGUAGCCCUGGCUUAUUAUCCUACUGCCACAUUCCAAUUAGAUUUGUCUUUUUUUCUGAAUUGGAUAAAUAUUUCAAGUAAUAAUUUGAGUAAAAAUUCUUUCAUUUUAUUUUCAGAGCAUCCAGCAAUCGAUCCAAUUACUCUGUUCCUUUCAUUCAUAUUUAGAAAUUGAGUAUACUUGUUUCAAAAUAACUGUCUCUGUGUUCAGUCUUUUAGAAAAACUGUCAACUGCAAAUGCUGCUAUUCUGAGGCAACCUUUUCGAAUAUUAUAUGAAAUUAAAAGUAAUUCUUCUGUUAAUGAAAUGUCUUCUUACCAUCUAUCUGUUUGGAUAGCCCCAUGUCUCUCAUUCAUGCCCAGCUCUUCCAAUAAUGGAGGGACAAAUGAUAUUGCCAAAAAGAUUCAGAGAAACAUGAAGGCAAUGUAUAUACCAACCCACCAGUACCUUCUCAAAAUCCACCACAACCAACAAAGAAAUGUUUGUUUGGGAAAUCUCUUAUGAGUAUUUUUGAAGACAAAAAGUUGCCUGGUUCAAUAUUU